GAAUCUUGCACAAUGGAGGACACUCUGACGCAGCCACGCCGCGUGAAGGAAGACACCCCUAUGGGGCGUAAACUUCUUUGAUACGGGAAGAACACCCUGUUUGGCAGGGUCUGACGGUACCGUAUGAAUAAGCACCGGCUAACUCCGUGCCAGCAGCCGCGGUAAUACGGAGGGUGCAAGCGUUGUCCGGAAUCACUGGGUGUAAAGGGUGUGUAGGCGGGGCAGUUAGUCAGAGGUGAAAUCCUGCGGCUUAACCGUAGAAUUGCCUUUGAUACUGCUGUUCUUGAGUACUGGAGAGGUCAUUGGAAUUCGUGGUGUAGCGGUGAAAUGCGUAGAUAUCACGAGGAACACCAGAGGUGUAGACGGAUGACUGGACAGGUACUGACGCUGAGGCACGAAAGCGUGGGGAGCAAACAGG
rnacentral:rRNA from 1 species